rnacentral:lncRNA from 1 species
CUGAUAAAACAGUUUGCAUUAAAGAAGCUGGCCAAAUCCCACCAAAACCGAGAUGGCAAGGAUGUGACCUCUGUUUGUCCUCACUGCUCAUUAUAGGCCAAUUAUAAUACAUUAGCAUGCUAAAAGACACUCCCAUCAGCACCAUAACAGUUUACAAAUGCCGUGGCAACAUCAGGAAGUUACCCUAUAUGGUCUAAAAAGGGGAGGAACCUUCAGUUCUGGGAAUUGUCCACCGCUUUCCCGGAAAGUUCAUAAAUAAUACCCUGCUCUUAUCAUGGCAUAAAUCAGAGGAAAGUAAACAGACCAAGAUGAUCUUUGUAAAAUUCCUGUAAUUGUUAAGUAUGAUUGAACAACAGCAUAAUACUCUCCUAACUGAUUCCCACAGGUCCUCUCACCGCUCUCGGACUCCAUCCUGGCUGAGAAGACGGUGAUCGUCCUGGAUGACUGAGUCACCAUCGCGGAGCUGGGAGUGCAGCUCGUAGCUGGCAUGUCUCUCUCCCUGCAGCCUCACCCAGCAGACAAAAGGGCCAUCGUCUCCACAGCCGCUGCCCUGGAUGUUCUUCAGUCCCCACAACAGGAGUACAGGAUACAUUCUCACUCUCAGGAGGGAGAGGAAGCAGCUGGGGAAAGCAAGUCUAAAGUCAACGGUGGAUUCCAGAGAAAUGGGGACUUGGCCUGUUGUCAAGCAAGUGAUGGUCACGAGUUACGGAGCAGCUGGCAUCUCUAUCUGACCACACACAAAGCCUCCUGGAAACCAUGUGGCUAUAUUGGGGUUGAUAAUUCAGGUAGCAGAGUUGGCUUCCAAGCCAGGGGCAGGAAGGACAAACAAACCACAGACUCCACAACAGGAGGAGCUUUCUCUGAAGUGCUACUGCCCAAGGAUCAGAGACCUUUCGUGGUGGCCACUGUUGUAUAA